GUAACAUGUUCAUCAGGAUUCAGCCCGCCAGUCGCUCAUCAUUUGACCCCGCUAUGU
rnacentral:sRNA from 1 species